CUCAGGUGAAUUUUUCUUCCGAAGAGGCAAGGAGUGAAGUUGCUUCAGACCUGCCAGUAACUCGGGAUGCUUCCCUAGAAGUCAUCCAUGGAGCUCCUCAGACUAUCUUUUGUGAACUGGAACUCACCUUCUGUUUCAUUAUGUGGCAAGAAUGACAUCUAUAGAUGCCCAGGCACACCACAGUACCAGGCGUUAUCAGUACCAGCUCACCUUCCUUUCCCUAUUUGGAAAGAGGACUAACUUUCUAGCUCAUUACAGACAUCCCUUCCCCUUCCUCUCCACUUUCUUUUACAUGCCCACCUUAUCCAAAAAAAAAAAAAAAAAAUCAAAUGUUUAGCCAGCCGGGAUUACUUUAGAUUGUACGACCGGACCCCAGCCAACGAGGAAAGGGUACAGGGGCAGGACUUGCAUCAGGAAUAAAGGCUCUCAUGUCCCUUUGUUCAGGUGUGCUCUCAUGGCGACUGGCCAAGGAGGCACCCCUCUGCGCAGAAGUAAAAUUGCUUUUUUAAGAAUCCUUUGAACGAAUGUUCAAUUUCCUUAGGAUUUUGAGCGUUAUUCCUAACAACUGUUAAGUAGAAGAAUUAGGAUUUGAACUCAAGUUGAGACAGUGCAAGUGGCAGCUAUAUCAAUAAUCUGAUAUAUUUAGAGAAAAAAAUUAAGGAGGUAUUAAAAUACUAUUUAUAAUAUCUGAAAAUCCCUUUAUUUGUUGAAAAAAAUACUAGGGGCCUAUUGAGUGUCUAUUAAGUGCUUGUCUCCAGAGUAAAGGCAAAGAAUAAGAACUAAAAACACUCAUUCCCUUUAAAGUGGGUGUUGCAGGUGCGACUGGCUGGGGCCAGUGUCGUCGUGGGUGGUAAAGGAUUUUACCAAGACAUUCGUAGGUGAAGAAAGGAAGAUUUAUUACAGGGAAAGUAUGUUGAAGGGAAACAACAGGCAGCACAGCAGAGAAGGGGUUGUCUGCAAAGAGGCAGGGGCUGGAGGGAAGUUUUGUAGGCCUGUGCUAAAGAGGCUACGUGCAGAAAGAGGUGUUUGGGAACAGGAUGUUGUGCCAGUAGGUUGCUUGCAAUUAGCCAUUUCUCAGAGCAUUUGUUUUCCCUUACCUGGGACCCCUUCCUUGUUGUUGCUUACCUAUCUUAUCAGGACUCCACAGUGGACCUCAGUCUCCCAUGAAAAACAGCAGAUGGGUAAAUAAGCAAUCACUCUGGUGAGAUAAACUCAUAGGGGAUAUGGGACAACAAAGAAGGAGCACCUAGCUUAGACUGGGUGGAGGAAAUACCUAGGUUGAAACAUAAAGAGUCAGGUAGGUAAAAAUGAAGAGGAAAGUUGCUCUACCUAGAGAGUGUGAAGGCCUAGAUGCAAAAGACAACAGGACUCAUUCUCAGAAUUGGGGCAGCUUAGGAUGGCAGAAAAAAAAAAAAAAAGAAAUAAGAGAUGAGACUGGGAGAAGACUCUAGAUCCUAAGCCACUUUAUUUGAGUCUUGACAAGAAAUUAAGCAAGAAUCUUGAGAGUUAUGCAGAGCCCUUGGAGAGUUUUAAGCAGAAUGGCAUCGCCAGAUAAACCAUUUUAAAAGACUGCUCUGAUUGCUAAGCAAAGAAUGGGUUAGAAAUUGGCAAAGAGUGAAAUUUUAGACAGAGAAGUUAGAAAACUUUUGUGGUAAUCCAUGAAAAAUAUAGUAGCAGCUUAAAGGAAGAAGGUUGGCAGUGAGCCCUAAGAUAAAGAUAAAUUUACUAUAUCUUUGAUUCAUUUUUUAUUGUGCUGUUGUGGUGGAUCUAGUCAGAUAUUAACAUAACUAAUAGAACUUUUGAAAGGGUGUACUUUUUUUUUUGAGACAGAGUCUCGCUCUGUCACCCAGGCUGGAGCGCAAUGGCGUGAUCUCAGCUCACUGCAACCUCUGCCUCCCGGGUUCAAGCGAUUCUCCUGCCUCAGACUCCUGAGUAGCUGGGAUUACAAGCGCGUGCCACUACACCUGGCUAAUUUUUGUAUUUUUAGUAGAGACAGAGUUUCACCUGUUGGUCAGCCUGGUCUCUAACUCCUGACCUCAUGUUCCGCCCGCCUCGGACUCCCAAGUGCUGGGAUUAGAGGCGUGAGCCACUGCACUCAGACAAAAGGGUGUACUUUUUAUUAUUAAAGAUGAAUAUUCAAUAUGCAGUAGCUGGAAUUUUUAGUAGUGUGAAUUUUAGUGGGAUUUAUGUACAUAUAGACCUUCUCAAAUUUUUAUAUAGUAGGUGUCUUAUCGAUAAAUCAGAAAAGUUUUCUAGCCAUAAUUUGAGCAGUUUGAACUAAUAAUGACGCAUAUAUUUAAUGCAAUGCUUUUAUAUUCCAAAACUGAGGCUGAAUUACAUAUAUAAUACAUACAAUUAAAAUUUGUGACUUGCAAACUAAGAAACAAGAAGUCCUAAAUGUCAAUGCAAGCCUUAAUUGUAGAUAUAAAUUGAAAAGAUAAUUAACUCUCUAGUACGUCUUAGAACGUCUUGUUACUGUUAAUUUCAAUAAAGUCUGUAGAAAACCAAACAUUCAUCAUAAUUGACUAAAUAUGAAAGACUAUAAGGCAUAGUUUAAUCUUUACUAACAUAACAAGUUAGAUUUCCUAUGGGUACAGUUUGAAAAAGUAAUCCAAGAGAAAUGAAAGUUAAUUUACAACACAGUCAAGUUUGAAAUUAUGAACAUAGAAAAGAAUAAUAGUUGAUAAAUAGCUUAUUAACAAAGAUGUAUUUUCUCAUACUUCCUCCUUCGAUUCCUACCUAUAGACUUAUUUGAGCUUUGUGAUAGAACAUAAUACUCAUCAGGUAAGGCAGAUUAGUAUCUCACUUUUUUAUUUCAUUAUACUUCACAUUUUCCAAAAAAUAUUUAAGAUUGCUUAAACAGAUAAAAAAUAAGACAAAAGAAAAAAAGUUUAGAAAAAUAAGCUAGAUGCAGGUGGAAGGCAAUCUACUGAAUUUGGCUGUGUUCACAAUUUGGUUGCAAUGUUUUCUAGUUAUAUGACUGUGGAUGAUUAUUUAUUCUUUCUGUUCUUAGUUUCUUCAUUUGUAAAAUAGGAUUAAUAACAAUAUGCAUAUCAUAGGAUUCUGAGAAUUAAAUGGAAUAAUCCAUAUAAAAUAUUUUAUAGGAUACUAGUGAGACAGCUAAGUAAAAAGGAGUCCCCAGAGGUUCUCCCAAUAGCCUAUGCACUGGGAGGAUGGGGUGGAGCCUCAGGAAGUUUGCUCCCUUUGCAUGGGGGAGAAGCCUGGCCUCUCCUGUUCCUGUGUGGUAACCUGGGAUUCAAUCUGUGAGAUGGGGGCCUGUUAACAGGAACCGCUUUUGCUUUGCUGAGUUUUUUCCUUUUAGCUGAAUAAAUUCCAUUCCUCCUCACCCUUCAAAGUGUCUGUGAGUCUGUCACGUAACAAGAACCCGUUUUUUUCUACAACACUACCUUGUGGUAAGCACUUCAUAAAUAUUAAUCAUGUUUAAAAAACAAACCUCCAUGAAUAAAUCUUCUAUGCUCCAAAGCUCAUAGAGCAAAACAAAUCCAUUGAUAACAAGUAUUCCUCUAUUUGAGAGUGAAGAAAGUUGUAUAGUGGAGAUCCUAACAGAGAGGACAGUACGUAAUGGAAUGGGUCUCAUCCUCAACAACAUCAUUUCAUAAAUACAACAAUGACCUGCUUAAGACUCUUUAUUUUAAGGCCCAUUGACAUAGGGCAGCAAUGAUAAACCAAAAUGUAACUCAGUUAAAAAUAAAUUCUGCAUCAAACCAAUUUGGUAUGAUCCCAGUGAAUGUCUUGAUAAUGACCUGACUAAAUCAAAGUAUAAAAUAUGGAAUAACUAGAUUAACAAUGGGCUGAAUAUUUUUCAAGAAAAUUUCCAGAAAUAUAUUUCUCAGUAUUGCUAAGCUCCUGAAAGAUAUUUAAGAGCACUGAGCUUCAGAUUAUAUUCUAUUAUAAUUGAUAUAACAUAAAUCUUAUCUUUAAAGCCUCCUGGAGAUUAUUUACACCAGAAAAAAAGCAUUGCUAGGAAGAGAUAAUGUAUCUUUGCGAUAUUCUAAGAGAGAACAAUAAGCAAGUCUUAACGAAGACAGUGGCCCCUGGUAUGCUGCAAUUUUUGGUUUAAUAUAUGUGUAUAUAUAUAUGAACACACAUAUAUAUGAAGUAUCUAUUUGUAAAUUGUUGUAUUUAUAUAUAUAUGCACAUAAACACACACACAUAAACAAAUAUCUCCAAUCCUGAAUUUAAGAACUGCUACAUUGCAGAGUAACAUAUUAAAAUUGUAAUAAAUAAUUGUCUAUGCAAUCAGUAAACAUUUAUCGAGUGCCAGUUAUGUGAAAGGCCCUGUAUUAGGCUCUGAAAACACAGUGGUGUACAAUAAAGGUGAGACCACUAUCCUCCUGGAGCUUACAUGGUUGUGUUGGUGAGAGAUGAGGAGGCAUUAGGUAUUAAAAAUACCCUUUUCUUCCCCAUCUUAUAACUGAUCCUAAAUAAGACAGAAGGGAUAGGCAGGAGAAGAUCAAAAUGACCAGACCAUGUGGUUACAAAUAAGUGGUGGGACAGGUCAAUGAGAAGAGCAGAAGCCUUGAAGGUCAUGGAAAGUAAUUUAAAUUUUAUUCUGUGUGCAAUGAAAAGGAAUUAAAGGCUUUUAAGUAGGGAUCAGUGUUACAUAAUUUAAAUUGUGCAAAUGUCAUGAUGUAGCCUAUGGGAAUUUGAUAGAUAUCAAGAGUGGAAGCACUGAAGCUUUUAAUGGACACAAAGAGUUGAUUCUCAGACUAGAAUAACAGUGGGGAAGUAGAGAAGAGGAUGGAUUAGAAAAAUAUUUUGGAGAGAAAACGAAGCUCUUUAAUUUUGUUUAAUGCAAACACACAUUUGAUUUUUUAAGAAAAUAUUUUACAGAACAUCUUUUAAUAGCCUGAUAGAGUUCCAGAAGACUUGGGAAAUGUUAACAGAAGCAGUUCAUCCAAACUUUUUCCACCUCAUACCACUGAGCAGCAAAAACAAGUAGGAAGGACUGUCGUUGUCAAACACAUUCUACAUACUGAAAAUAACCCUCAUCAAUAAUAAAAUAGUCUGUUACUAAAAUUAGAAGAUAGGCAGCUCUGAUCUACCUUCAGACCCCACUGGGUUAAGAAUAUGAGAAUGAUGGGUAAGGUAAGGAUGCCCAGACAUGUGAUAUCUAUGGUGAACAGAAGCAGAGACAGCAAGAGCCGAAGUAAGAAAUGGAGAACAGAUAUUGUUAAGAGUGUGCUGAAGCUCAGUUUCAAGCAAUAAAUAAGAUUCGCUGAAUGCUUACAAGGAAACACAAUCAAGCAAGCCAGGUGUGCAGUAAUCAGAGACCAACUGGCUCUUUUUGUGUCUAGAAUGAAUUUUAAAGAAAGACAGUCUCUGGAAUAGAGGAUGAAAUCAAAAGGAAAAUGACUCUUUUGUGUCUACAAUGUGUUCCAGGGAGAAAUGACUAUUGAGAAUUUACUGCUUCUUUUUCUUAUCAGUCAAACACACAAAUAGCAAUUGCUAAAUAUUAGUAACACUUUGUAUUUUAUGCCCAGGAAAGAAAACAAAAAUAAAUAAGUAAAAAUGAAAAUAAAUCUUACAUCUCAAAAUAUUUCACAAAUUACCUCACUUAAUCCUCCGAUAUGCUGAUUCCCAUAAACACAACAAACUUUCACCACAAAAAAGUUUGGAUGUCUUAAUUUAUAGACCUUAUUGCUCUCUGCCUUUUCCUCCUUACCUAUCUUUAGGAAAAACACUCCUAUUUCAUUUGUUUCAUAGAUUGAUACUUAGUUGAACAUUCUACAAAUGCUGUUGCUUAGCAACCUAUUCACAGCACCCCAUCUAAGUCUUCAUCUAUUAACCUUUUCAUCUGUCCAUUAAGCUUGGUCCUUGUACUCCAGUGAAUAAACAAAACUUUGCUAGAUUAUCAUUCCUUUUUUUUUGUCAGUUUUUAAAAACUUCUGUGACUUUUCUGAUUCAACUAUCUAAUCUGUCUCUCAUUGCAGAUUACUGAACAAGUGUCAGGGAGCAAAAUGUAUGAACGAGUUUCCAGUUCUGCAUUGCUCAUGAAAAAUUUGAACUGUAUGUUAUAAUUUCAGAGUAUGCUAAAAAAAAACAAUCAUUUUACAGAGUUACCAGUGUCUUUGAAUCCAAAAUGUCAAACAAAAUUUACUAAAUUCAUAUUAAGGGUAACAGAUCAUGAACAGUAAAAUAGUAACCAAAAUUGUGAAUACUGAAAACAAAAGAAAAACUACACUACAGAAUCAAAACAAACUUCAACGGUAACGCAACUUCUGGCAGAGGCUAUCUUUAUUUUCAAUUUGACAUUUUACAAAAAAGCUAAAAAAGAGAUCAAUCAAAUACAAAAAUUCUAAAAGAUGACAUGAGCUUCUCUUAUGAUACUGGUGUCAAUAAAAUAGCUAAUUCACCUCAAGCAUGCUGUGAGGCAGAAGACAUUUAGAGUAUACACAGUGUACUGGAAAUUGUUAUAGUUUUUGUAACUUGUGUGAUAACUCACACAUCAUUGCCUUUUUCUGAAAUUAAAACAUCUCCAAAGCUUUCACAGAUUCUGAAUCACUCCAUAUUAAUUCACAACUCAAGAAAUAUUCAUUAUGCAACUUCUUUAAUUUUCUCUACCAAGAAAAAGUCAAAUUAAAUGUGUUGCUCUCAGCAGACAUGAAAUAUGCCCAGUACUAAAUGUAUUUUUAAGAAAAAAAAUAGUAAAAUUAAAUGCAAACUAUAGGAUAGUUAUGGGGGGAUCUACCUUGGCAAAUUUUUCACAUUCCAGUGAAAAAUAUGCAAUUUGAAUUCUUUCAAUAUUAUACAUUUUCUAAAGAAUCAAUAUCAUAUAAGUUAUAGAGAAUUCUGAUUCCAAAACACAAAGCUUAUCAAUAGUUCUAGGAAUUUUGUAUAUGACUAUUAUGCAUAUGAUAUACAUUUUAUUAAACAGAGUAAGAUUUGGAAUAUUCUGAAUGAACUAUAUCAAAAAAUAACUAAGGGACAUUUUAUUAAUUAUUUGCACUCCAUUUAGUUAUUUUUACAUGCAAACUUCUCACAUGCAAGGUGGUCAGAAACUAAAUCAAUAAAAGAAGAACCAGAUGAAUAAAGUAUAGAGAAGUGGAUAUGAAAGCACUGCAAAGCCAUUCUGAAAACAAUGAAUCUUGUUUGCCCUUUUGGACAUAAAGCUGGCAACUAGCAAGGAGAUGGUUCAAGAUAUUCUGUCUCUGAGAAGGCUCACCAAAGAUAUUUUAAGAGUUAUUUAAGCUUUUUAUGAAGUCUUCCCAGAAUCUUUAGAUAAAAGUUCAGCUGCGGAGUAUGUAUGACAUAUUAUCUCUAUAAUGUGUGCCACAGUCCAUCCAUUAGCAUGUCUACUUCAGUGAAACCAGGUCUGUACCUUCUCAACAGUUAUC
rnacentral:lncRNA from 1 species